AUUGAACGCUGGCGGCAGGCCUAACACAUGCAAGUCGAGCGGAUGAAGGGAGCUUGCUCCUGGAUUCAGCGGCGGACGGGUGAGUAAUGCCUAGGAAUCUGCCUGGUAGUGGGGGAUAACGUCCGGAAACGGGCGCUAAUACCGCAUACGUCCUGAGGGAGAAAGGGGGGGAUCUUCGAACCUCACGCUAUCAGAUGAGACUAGGUCGGAUUAGCUAGUUGGUGGGGUAAAGGCCUACCAAGGCGACGAUCCGUAACUGGUCUGAGAGGAUGAUCAGUCACACUGGAACUGAGCCACGGUCCAGACUCCUACGGGAGGCAGCAGUGGGGAAUAUUGGACAAUGGGCGAAAGCCUGAUCCAGCCAUGCCGCGUGUGUGAAGAAGGUCUUCGGAUUGUAAAGCACUUUAAGUUGGGAGGAAGGGCAGCAAGUUAAUACCUUGCUGUUUUGACGGUACCAACAGAAUAAGCACCGGCUAACUUCGUG
rnacentral:rRNA from 1 species